UAUAUAUUAAAUUGCUAAUUAUAAGUCUCCUAAAAACCUAAAGCUAUGUGCCGUCAGUGGAGAUUCAACCUUCUCUAAGCCAUCUUCUUCUCCAUCUCCAGCCACCAUGAAAGAGGAGCCAUCACACCAUUUGAGAAGAGAGAUUAAAGCUCAUCAGACACGUUUAUGGAGAACUGAAGAACGAUCGAUCAAAACUAAGUAUUUCGAAGCCAAAUUUUGAGGUUAUGUUCUACACUCAUAGAUCUAUGUUUAUCAGAAAGCGGAUAAUCAUUUGGAUUUUUCAUCUAAUAGUUAUGGACAUUUCUUUGGGGCUACUCGUUGUAGAUCGGAUCCGCCGAUAGUCAACUUCAUCGGUGUUUUCCCGUUGAUCUAGAAGGAACCAGCAAACGAGCGAGAUAUCAUCAGAAAGAUCUCGUUGUCAGCUUUCCAUAUCAUCUCCCCGAUCGUAAAACCAAGGCACGGUUGGAAAGCUAUCGAUGUUGCUUCUUGGCCAAGGAUAAGCUGAAGCUUUAGUGAUGCAGAUACAGUUCCGACCAGUCUCAGCGUAAAGGCCAAACGACCGACCUAAAUGAAAGCUUUCAAUCUGGAAAUUUGUCAUAUUACUGCAGUCUUCGUUUGCGACCAGCCUGGAGGUGAAGCUAAUUUGGUUAAUCAAAUGGUGUCCGAUCGGAGUGAACUCGGUGUCUAUGGACAGAGGACAUAUAGGACUACACUAUGACCGGACGGAUUGAAAAGUUAACGAGAGUUCCAGAGUUGCUGUUUCAGAGUCGUCAAGGUUCAUUAUGUGUUUUUUCAGGUUAUCUUCAGAACUCGUGGCAAAGGUGAGGAUCUAUCCCGUAAACUCCGUACCAGUAUAGAAUUCUUCUAUCGUAGUUUAGAUUUCGAAACAUGAAUUGAGUCUGUUUGAGUCGUGAUUGAUAGAUAGUUUAUUCUUUGUAAACCGGAAUUAGGGGUCUAGAG